rnacentral:lncRNA from 13 species
GGAGACCUGGUUUAUUCUCCAACUCUUGAGCGUAGUGAUAUAGAAAUGCAGAUCAGCCAUCUGAAGUAUGUUCCUGCUGCCAACUCUCUCUGCUGCCAACUCUCUCUCUCCGGACACUCUGUGGAAGGCAUCACCACUGCUUACAUAACUGGCCUGAUCAUUCCAUUUGUGUGUGUUUUUGUUUUCAGGGAGGUCAUUGUGUGUGUUUUGUUAAACCGAGAGGUCAUAAGAGAACUGUCUAAGUAUGUAUGUUGAUAAUGUAACAUUGUGUUGUAUGUUUCAGAAGGCCACUCCUCUAGCUGAGACCCCACAGGGAACAACAGCCUCCUCCCUAGACUUACUAGUGGACCCAGCUCUGGUCAUCAAAGACAGGCUGGUGGAAGAGGUUAGAGACCAGGCUGCCAUUGUCUCAGACAAACCUCCCAUCCCUGCCCAGAUUGUUCAGGCCGAAGAAGCAAAGGCGUCCCAGAAGAGCAAGAUAAGUGUCAACGGAGUGUGA